GACUUUCCAGUAAUUAGUAAGACAAAUGUGUAAAAUCAGGCUCCAACACUGUUAUUUACCACGCCCGUAAUGUUUAUUCUGGAACACACGUACUUCCUGUUAUCUAUUAACGUUAUCUUCGAUCUGGUGAUGGGAAGCUGUCUGCUGAGAGAAGACAAUACGUUGGAAUCAUACCCAAACCCAUCAACACAAUAAGGGAUGUGCGACUGUAGCUGAUGUUGAGUCUUCCAAGCCUACCUGUGACGCCUCGCCUGAUAUUACUAGGUGAACGACAAGGUAAUCAUCAAAAGUGGAUGGUCAGCAUUGAAUCCUUAAUCGUUUGUGAAGGGUCCAACCUCGCCACAUUUCUAACAGGGAUUGCGACAUGUUUCUCCACCUUCUAUAUUCUGAAUCUGCAAUAUCAGGAGGAGGCAGCGUGCACCCUUGAAUUCUUCCAGAAAAAAGGCCCAGAAGAAGCCUAAGAACAAUCACUAAUAAGUAAAGUGAAUGUUACUUGAUUUCUCAUGAAUGUUACUUGAUUCCCUCCCUGAUUAUCAUUUAUACUCAUCUCUUACUUUAAAUUCUUCUGGACAUAAUCUGUCAGUUUAUUCAUUCUCACAUGUACACAAGGCCAAUGCGAUGCAAUGAUAUUGAUAAUUGAUAAAUAUCUGUGAUGAUUAUUCUGUAUCUUAUUUUAUUUUGAAAUAGUACUACUUUAGAUAACAUGCCUACAUUUUACAUACAUAUGUGAUACACGAGCCUAAUGCGAUGUUUUUGUUUUUCAUGAUAAUUCUUCUGUACCUUAUUCCUUGUUUUUUGAAAUAAGAUUUUCAAAAUACUACUAGAUAGCGUGUCUACAUUUUAAACGGGCCUAAUGCAAUGUAUUUGUUUUCCAUUGUAAUUCCUCUGUAUCCGAUUACCUGUUCUUUGAAAUCUGAUUUUCAAAAUACUACUAUGUAUCUACAUUUUACAUU